rnacentral:rRNA from 1 species
CCUAACACAUGCAAGUCGAACGGUAGAGUAGCAAUACUUGAGAGUGGCGAACGGGUGAGUAAUAUAUCGGAACGUGCCCAGUCGUGGGGGAUAACGUAGAGAAAUUUACGCUAAUACCGCAUACGAUCUAAGGAUGAAAGCGGGGGACCGUAAGGCCUCGCGCGAUUGGAGCGGCUGAUAUCAGAUUAGGUUGUUGGUGAGGUAAAAGCUCACCAAGCCGACGAUCUGUAGCUGGUUUGAGAGAACGACCAGCCACACUGGGACUGAGACACGGCCCAGACUCCUACGGGAGGCAGCAGUGGGGAAUUUUGGACAAUGGGCGAAAGCCUGAUCCAGCAAUGCCGCGUGCAGGAAGAAGGCCUUCGGGUUGUAAACUGCUUUUGUACGGAACGAAACGGUCUGCUUUAAUACAGUGGGCUAAUGACGGUACCGUAAGAAUAAGCACCGGCUAACUACGUGCCAGCAGCCGCGGUAAUACGUAGGGUGCGAGCGUUAAUCGGAAU